GUGCUUGCUUUGGCAGCACACAUACUAAAACUGGAACAGUACAGAGAAGAUUAGCAUGGCCCCUGCGCAAAGACGACACGUGAAUUUGUGAAGUGUUCCAUAUUUAU